AUUGAACGCUGGCGGCAGGCCUAACACAUGCAAGUCGAGCGAGCGGCGGACGGGUGAGUAAUGUCUGGGAAACUGCCUGAUGGAGGGGGAUAACUACUGGACACGGUCGCGAAGACCGCAUACCAUUCGAAGUGCCCACUUGGGAUUAGCUCGUAGGUGGGGUAACGGGUCACCUAGGCGACGAGCCCUAGCUGGUCUGAGAGGAUGACCAGCCACACUGGAACUGAGACACGGUCCAGACUCCUACGGGAGGCAGCAGUGGGGAGUAUUGCACAAUGGGCGCAAGCCUGAUGCAGCCAUGCCGCGUGUGUGAAGAAGGCCUUCGGGUUGUAAAGCACUUGCAGCGGGGAGGCGUUACCCGCAGAAGAAGCACCGGCUAACUCCGUGCCAGCAGCCGCGGUAAUUC
rnacentral:rRNA from 1 species